UACGUAGGAUCCGAGCGUUAUCCGGAUUUAUUGGGUUUAAAGGGUGCGCAGGCGGGAAAUUAAGUCGGCGGUGAAAUUUUGCGGCUCAACCGUAAAGUGCCUUCGAUACUGGUUUUCUUGAGUGUGGAUGAAGUAGGCGGAAUUUGUGGUGUAGCGGUGAAAUGCAUAGAUAUCACGAGGAACUCCGAUUGCGCAGGCAGCUUACUAAACCAUAACUGACGCUCAGGCACGAAGGCGUGGGGAUCAAACAGGAUUAGAUACCCGGGUAGUCCCUGAG
rnacentral:rRNA from 1 species